CAGCUCGGCGCUGCUGGGGUGGCCCGGCCUCGCCGCGGGCACAGGCGGAGCCGGAGCCGUUUGUUCCCCGCGAGAGCCUCGUGGCCGCCGAAAGCAGCCUUCCCUCACAGCCCUGAGGGGUUAAAACAGCCGAAACCUCCCAAACCCCAAGCGAAAUGCGCUUUUUGCCACUGAGAAAAUAACCGAGGCCUUCCCGGGGCCGCAGGAAGCGCGGCCCCGGCUGCCCGCCCUGCAGGCUGCGAGGACGCUCCCUCCCUCUCGCCUCGCUCUGCGGCCUGCGCGGGCGGUGGCUCCUGCAGAGGUAGCGUCCAAAGCCCGGACUGACCUCGCGUCCCAGUGAAAGUCUCGCAGAAACCCGGUGUCUGCCUGCGAGCCUGCUGCCGCGGAAGUGUGGUUACCUGACGUCUGCAGGCAAAUGAGAAAUGGAUGCACGUUGGAUUGCCUACUUCUGCUUGUCAGCCGCGCCAGAGUAUUCUAAUUAACUUUCAUUGAAAGGGUGCGGAAAGGUCGCGCUAUGAUAGCUGGCUCCUGCUCUCAGGGAAGAUACUGUAAAAGCUCCUGCUUGCUCCAGUGGUGGAGGACAGAUUUCUGUGAAAAAGAAUGUCAGAUAAUUCAUACAGUAAUUAAACUGAAGAAAGAAAUAUGAGGAAUAACAAAUGAACUUAGUCAACUGCUAUGGUUUAUAUUAUUACUACUUCAUCUGUGUCUCUAAAUUAUCAGAAUUGUUCCAGAGCAAUCUCUCAACGUGUUGGUACUACACAAAGCAUUUCAUUCCUUGUGCUUCCACGGAAAAGAGGGAUAAAAUUAUGGACAGUAAAAGACAUGGAAAAUGAAGAACUCAGGCAAAGGCUUAGGAUAUUCCUCAUUCUGUAACAGUAAACAGUGAAUGGAUGAAUAUGGUAUAAAGCUCAAAUACUACAAAAAUGGCAAACGUGAUGCUGCAAGAACUACCUGACCUUCAACUGUGACUGAAAUCCAUUAAAACUGUGACUAGCCAGUACCAAGAAAGUAAAAUUCUUAUACUGUAAUUCAAAGAUAUAUGAAAAACAUGAACCUUCUAGGCAAAUACAACAAUGGCUGAAUCCCUCUUUGCUUGGAUCUAGCUUUUACUUCUGGCCUUGUUUCAAAAAUCUCAGAUAAAUUAUAUAAAGCUUUUGGAUCAUCAGUUAUUGUAAGUCAGAUGCAUGGAAUUCUACCUUAAUUCAAACUGUGUUUAUAUUAGAUCUUUAUCUCUUCCACUUUAGCUUUGCCUCCAGUCUAUUAGGGUUUUUGAACAUAACAUAAGCAAUGACACUCUUUAAUUAUAGAAAUCUGUAUUCAUGUAAAUAGAACAGUCAUCACCUUUUUUUUCAGUACCAUGUAAUGCUAAUAUAAGAUUUACAAUAGGUCUCCAGGAAUGAAAUUUUUAAAAGUCAUUAUAUACAGACUUGGAAGCUGAAUUUGCCAUGGUAACUGUCAUAGCUAUCAUAUGUAUUUCUGUAAGAAGAAACAACAAGGCCAA